rnacentral:lncRNA from 1 species
AUGGAGAAGGAAAUUCCCAAGAAUUCCCAUGGAUGGAGAAGGAAAUUCCCAUGGAUGGAGAAGGAAAUUCCCAGGAUCAAAUUCCGAUGGAGACAAAGAUCCCACCCCCAGGAUCCUUGGAAAAGGGAUCAGCACCAGGAUAUUCCCACCACAUCCCAAAAUCCCCCUCAUCCCAACCCUCUCUUUUCCCAGGAAUUCGGUUUUCCUUGGAUUUUUCACCCGGGAGGAAUCAGGGCUGUAGUGUUGGAUGAGCUGAGGAAUUCCAUAAAGGGAAGGAAGAGGAAUUCGGGGAAAUUCAGGUUUCCCGAAAAACCUCUGGGAUUGGCAGGAUCCCCCUGCGCAGCUUCCAUAGGGAGGAAUUUUGGGAUUGCAACUCGGAACCCUUCACUUCCAGCAGGGAAAAUUCCAUUCCAGAAAAAUCAGGGAAAAUCCCAUUCUGGAAAAAUCAGGGAAAAUCACAUUCUGGAAAAAUCAGGGGAAAUUCCGCUCCGGAAAAAUCAGGGAAAAUUCCAUUCCGGAAAAAUUCCGCUCUGGAAAAAUUCCAUUCUGGAAAAAUCAGGGAAAAUCCCAUGCUGGAAAAAUCAGGGAAAAAUCCCGCUCUGGAAAAAUAAGAGAAAAUCCCAUUCCGAAAAAUCAGGGAAAAUUUCAUUCUGGAAAAAUCAGGGAAAAUCACAUUCCAGAAUAAUCAGGGAAAAUUCCAUUCUGGAAAAAAUCAGGGAAAAUUUCAUUCCAGAAAAAUCAGGGAAAAUCACAUUCUGGAAAAUCAGGGAAAAUCACAUUCUGGAAAAAUUCAGGGAAAAUCCCAUUCCAGAAAAAUCAGGGAAAAUCCCGCUCUGGAAAAAUCAGGGAAAAUCCCAUUCCGGAAAAAUCAGGGAAAAUUACAUUCCAGAAAAUCAGGGAAAAUCCCAUUUUGGAAAAAUUCCAUUCCGGAAAUAUCAGGGAAAAUCACAUUCCGGAAAAAUCAGGGAAAAUUCUGCUCUGAAAAAUCAGGGAAAAUUUCAUUCUGCAAAAAUCAGGGAAAA